rfam:Ipomoea nil DNA, scaffold: scaffold3025, cultivar: Tokyo-kokei standard.
AAUGCUGUGAUGAGAUGAACACCUUUGGUGUUUUGGGCAGUGGGAAAAAGUUGGAUUUUUAAUCCUUCUCCGUGAGCCCUCUAAUUAACGACUUCUCCUUCCACUGAGCAUU